UCCACAACAGAUUCAACAAGAAUUCACACAAUUCUUUCACAAGCUAUUGGGUACAGCAGCAGUUCAACUACUAGGAAUUGACAUCAAUGUGGCAAGAGAUGGUCCCUACUUAACAUUGCACCAACAGCAGCAACUGUUAGUACUAGUAACAAAUCGGCCAGAUAGUGCAGAACCUACCUCAAGAUAAGGCUCCAGGUAUUGAUGGAUAUCCUGCAUAAUUUUUUUGGCUAAUUGUAGGGGAGGAAGUUACAGAGGCGGUGCAGCAGUUUUUUCAAAAUGGCAAACUCUUCAAAGAGAUUAACUGCACAACUGUUACAUUGAUUCCAAAAGUGAAAAAUCCCAG
rnacentral:lncRNA from 1 species